rnacentral:rRNA from 1 species
AGAGUUUGAUCAUGGCUCAGAACGAACGCUGGCGGCAGGCUUAACACAUGCAAGUCGAACGAUCUCUUCGGAGAUAGUGGCAGACGGGUGAGUAACGCGUGGGAAUAUACCUUUCGGUACGGAACAACAGUUGGAAACGACUGCUAAUACCGUAUGCGCCCUACGGGGGAAAGAUUUAUCGCCGAAGGAUUAGCCCGCGUUAGAUUAGCUUGUUGGUGAGGUAAAAGCUCACCAAGGCGACGAUCUAUAGCUGGUCUGAGAGGAUGAUCAGCCACACUGGGACUGAGACACGGCCCAGACUCCUACGGGAGGCAGCAGUGGGGAAUCUUGCACAAUGGGCGAAAGCCUGAUGCAGCCAUGCCGCGUGUGUGAUGAAGGCCCUAGGGUUGUAAAGCUCUUUCAGCGAGGAGGAUAAUGACGUUACUCGCAGAAGAAGCCCCGGCUAACUUCGUGCCAGCCGCCGCGGUAAUUC